rnacentral:rRNA from 1 species
CCUACGGGAGGCAGCAGUGAGGGAUAUUGGUCAAUGGGCGCGAGCCUGAACCAGCCAAGUAGCGUGAAGGAUGACUGCCCUACGGGUUGUAAGCUUCUUUUAUAAAGGAGUAAAGUGAGACCCUUGUGCCUUUUUGUAUCUACUUUAUGAAUAAGGAUCGGCUAACUCCGUGACAGCAGCCGCAGUCAUACGUCGGAUCCAAGGGUUAUCCGGAUUUAUUGGGUUAAAAGGGAGCGUAGAUGGGUUGUUAAGUCAGUUGUGAAAGUUUGCGGCCCAACCGUAAAAUUGCAAUUGAUACUGGCAGUCUUGAGUACAGUUGAGGUAGGCGGAAUUCGUGGUGUAGCGGUGAAAUGCUUAGAUAUCACGAAGAACUCCGAUUGCGAAGGCAGCUUACUAAACUGCCACUGACAUUGAUGCUCGAAAGUGUGGGUAUCAAACAGGAUUAGAUACCCUUGUAGUC